rnacentral:rRNA from 1 species
UGCCAGCCGCCGCGGUAAUACAGAGGGUGCAAGCGUUAAUCGGAAUUACUGGGCGUAAAGAGCACGUAGGUGGUUGCUUAAGUUAGAUGUGAAAGCCCUGGGCUCAACCUAGGAACUGCAUUUAAGACUGGGCAACUAGAGUAUGGUAGAGGAAAGCGGAAUUUCCGGUGUAGCGGUGAAAUGCGUAGAUAUCGGAAGGAACACCAGUGGCGAAGGCGGCUUUCUGGACUAAUACUGACACUGAGGUGCGAAAGCGUGGGGAGCGAACAGGAUUAGAUA